rnacentral:rRNA from 1 species
CCUACGGGUGGCAGCAGUGAGGAAUAUUGGUCAAUGGCCGGAAGGCUGAACCAGCCAAGCCGCGUGAAGGACGCAGGUGCCAAGCAUUGUAAACUUCUUUUGUCAAGGGACAAAAUCAGGCUCGAGAGACUGACCGAGGGUACUUGAAGAAAAAGCAUCGGCUAACUCCGUGCCAGCAGCCGCGGUAAUACGUAGGUAGCGAGCGUUAACCGGAAUUAUUGGGCGUAAAGGGUGCGUAGAGGGCAUAGUAAGUCUUGUGUAAAAAUGCUGGGCUAAACCCAGUAGGGCAAAAGAUACUGCAAAGCUAGAGUAUGACAGAGGCAAGUGGAACUACAUGUGUAGCGGUAAAAGGCGUAAAUAUAUGUAAGAACACCAGUGGCGAAGGCGGCUUGCUGGGUCGAUACUGACAUUGAGGCACGAAAGCGUGGGGAGCAAACAGGAUUAGAUACCCGUGUAGUC